UACGUAGGUGGCAAGCGUUGUCCGGAUUUACUGGGCGUAAAGGGUGCGUAGGUGGAUAUUUAAGUGGGACGUGAAAUACCCGAGCUCAACUUGGGUGCUGCAUUCCAAACUGGAUAUCUAGAGUGCAGGAGAGGUAAGUGGAAUUCCUAGUGUAGCGGUGAAAUGCGUAGAGAUUAGGAAGAACACCAGUGGCGAAGGCGACUUACUGGACUGUAACUGACACUGAGGCAUGAAAGCGUGGGGAGCAAACAGG
rnacentral:rRNA from 1 species